rnacentral:rRNA from 1 species
UAGCAGAGGUCUCAAGCGUUUGUUCGGAUUCAUUGGGCGUAAAGGGUGCGUAGGCUGGCGCGGUAAGUCGGGUCGUGAAAUCGUCGGAGCUUAACUCGAAACUGCAUUCGAUACUGCCGUGCGUUGAGGACUGGAGAGGAGACUGGAAUUUACGGUGUAGCGGUGAAAUGCGUAGAUAUCAGGAGGAACGACCGGUCGGCGGAAGGCGGGUCUCUGGGCCGAUAUUGACGCUGGAGGAGCGAAAGCGUGGGGAGCGAACAGG